rnacentral:lncRNA from 1 species
AAUACUUCAUGUGCACAUUCAGCCUAAGUUAAUAAAGAUGAAAAUUAAAAACCUAAGGCCUAUGAGAACUUAAAUGUAGCCAAUAUUUGUCUUCAUUUUUCUAUUUUGCUACUAUUGUUGUUUCUCCUCAACUCUCAUCACCUGUCUCCAAUCCUCCUGCCAUCCAUUUUGCUUCCAGAAGCCUCAUUUAUGUUUACUAUUUACCUUGUUGUCCUGAUUUUGGCAUACGGCUGCUCAUUAAAGCAUCAUUGUUUUCCAGAGGGGAGCUCUUUUUCACAGUGAUGCAGAAGUGGUUUCAUCUAGUUAUAGACACCUGGGAUAGUGAGUCAGCUAACCUGUAAGAGGCAUGAAAGAGACAUGAUGGAAGCUACUUUCAACACCUCUAAUACCACAUCCACCAAAAUCUUCCUCUUCUCCUGUGCAGCUACAGGAGUUAAUUCAUCCUAAGAUGCAUGAAGAAAAGUCUGAUCUCAUUGGAACUGGUCUCCUGAUCCAGAAUCCCUACAAAAGUCUGGAAAACACAAACCGAGUUAAACCACCCUAUUCUGAAACUGAGAGCCAAAGAGGUGAAGUCUCUUACCCAAUGCCACACAAGUUGGUGUUCAAUACACAUAGAUGUCAAUUAACAAAGUAUAUAGAGUGACAACUAUGUGGCUUCUAUUGGACACACUCUAGAUC